CAGAAUAGAUCAAAGGCUAAGGUCGCGCCGUCCUGGCGGCAGGCUUAAAGCACGACGUCCUGUCGUUUCGCCUACACUAGUACGUCCUAUACGUCGCAACGCCUUUGUGACCAACAUCCUGUUGG
rnacentral:sRNA from 1 species